UACGGGGGGGGCAAGCGUUGUUCGGAAUUACUGGGCGUAAAGGGCUCGUAGGCGGCCAACUAAGUCGGACGUGAAAUCCCCAGGCUCAACCUGGGAACUGCGUCCGAUACUGGAUGGCUUGAAUCCGGGAGAGGGAUGCAGAAUUCCAGGUGUAGCGGUGAAAUGCGUAGAUAUCAGGAGGAACACCAAUGGCGAAGGCAGCUCGCUGGGACGUGACUGACGCUGAGACGCGAAAGCGUGGGGAGCAAACAGG
rnacentral:rRNA from 1 species